rnacentral:rRNA from 1 species
CAGCCAUGCCGCGUGUAUGAAGAAGGCCUUCGGGUUGUAAAGUACUUUCAGCGGGGAGGAAGGCGUUGAGGUUAAUAACCUCAACGAUUGACGUUACCCACAGAAGAAGCACCGGCUAACUCCGUGCCAGCAGCCGCGGUAAUACGGAGGGUGCAAGCGUUAAUCGGAAUUACUGGGCGUAAAGCGCACGCAGGCGGUCUGUUAAG